AUAAUUCACAAGUCCCGUUGGAUUAGCAGGAUUAUUAACACACAAUGGGAAAAUAAUCGCAUAUGCAAGCCGAUCAUUGACAGACGUUGAAACACGCUAUUCGCAAACAGAAAAGGAAGCAUUGGCAAUUGUAUGGGUAUUUGAACAUAUUCAACUUUAUUUGUACGGACAACCAUUUACAUUGGUAUCCGAUCACCAACCGCUUGAAACUAGAUUCAACAGUCCAAAGGCAAAGACACCAG
rnacentral:lncRNA from 1 species